rnacentral:rRNA from 1 species
ACGCUCGACACCUACGUGAGGCAGCAGUCGGGAAUAUUGCGCAAUGGAGGAAACUCUGACGCAGUGACGCCGCGUGCAGGAAGAAGGUUUUCGGAUUGUAAACUGCUUUAGACAGGGAAGAAAAAAGACAGUACCUGUAGAAUAAGCUCCGGCUAACUACGUGACAGCAGCCGCGGUAAUCUGAGGCGGGCUGGCAAGGC